rfam:Rattus norvegicus chromosome 7, whole genome shotgun sequence.
GGGGAUUUAGCUCAGUGGUAGAGCGCUUGCCUAGCAAGUGCAACACCCUGGGUUCGGUCCCCAGCUCCG